GCUCAGAACUUAAAGGAAUGACGGGGCCGCACAAGCGGCGGAGCAUGUGGAUUAAUUCGAUGCAACGCGAAGAACCUUACCUGGGUUUGACAUACACCGGAAAACCGUAGAGAUACGGUCCCCCUUGUGGUCGGUGUACAGGUGGUGCAUGGCUGUCGUCAGCUCGUGUCGUGAGAUGUUGGGUUAAGUCCCGCAACGAGCGCAACCCUUGUCUUAUGUUGCCAGCACGUGAUGGUGGGGACUCGUAAGAGACUGCCGGGGUCAACUCGGAGGAAGGUGGGGACGACGUCAAGUCAUCAUGCCCCUUAUGUCCAGGGCUUCACACAUGCUACAAUGGCCAGUACAGAGGGCUGCGAGACCGUGAGGUGGAGCGAAUCCCUUAAAGCUGGUCUCAGUUCGGAUCGGGGUCUGCAACUCGACCCCGUGAAGUCGGAGUCGCUAGUAAUCGCAGAUCAGCAACGCUGCGGUGAAUACGUUCCCGGGCCUU
rnacentral:rRNA from 1 species